AGUUGCUCUCUGUAAGACUUGUGCUCCAGACCCCUCACAGCUUCACUGCCCUUCUCUAGACACUCUCUAGAGCCUCAGUGUCUUUCUUGUAGUGAGGGACUUGAAAGUGAACAUGAUACUCAAAGCGUGACUUCACCAGGGCUGAGUAAACCACCUGCUUUUCCUCCUGGGUAAUGCUACCCUGCCAGUCUUACACUAAAGUGUUUGGAGAAGGAGAAUGGCAGGAAGGUUUCCACGGAAAUAAAUAGGAGGUAUUACUUUUGGAGCAUCAGAAUCACAGAAUGGCCCGGAUUGGAGGGGACUUCAAGGAUCAUGAAGCUCCAACCCCCCCGCCACAGGCAGGGCCACCAACCUCCACAUUUAAUACUUGACCAACCUAGCAACCUACAGAUAUGAAUGCAAGGCUGAGGCACAGAGUGGAUGAAAAUGCUUUUUCCUGCCUGCUUUGUUCAGACUUAAUGUACCUAUAUGCUCUGCACAGACAAGGGGUCAUAAAGAAUUAUGUCAAAGAGAGGAAAAACUGUGGGAUAUGGAUUUGUACAUGGAGAUUCCUUGUGUGAAUGACAGUCAUUCUUGUUCAAGACAAUGUUGGACUUCUGUAUUGUUUUCAGGCUCUGAACAAUCCGAUCUUGAUUCAACACUGGCCUUGCUUUGCACAGAGGUUAGAGUAUUUCUAGAGGUCUCUUUACACCUUAAUCAUCCUUGUGGUUUGACAGUUGCAUUUAUGAUGGUGAGGAAAUCCUCUUCCAAGAGGAAGAUGAGUGCACUUGUGAGACUGAGAAAGUUGGAGGAAAGAAAACUACUGUUUGAAAUUCAACUUUUCCCCAUCUCUUGGGCCCAAAAGUGCUGACAGUUUUGAUUUGGGGGCUUAAAUUAUAUUGCAACAGCUGUUGAAAUCUGCAGACUGAAAUGUCAGUGUUGCUGAAAUACAAUAGCAGAGCACCAGUAAAUAUACCCAGAUUUAGCUCUCGUGUAUUCCUUUUUUUAUUCCGUAUUCCAUCAAUACCUUUGUUGUACAUUCUUUCACACAGAUAGCUCCUUUCCUUCAAGGUGGCUUCACUGCCUAGCAACCUUAUAAAAAUAAACAUCACUGUUCUGUAUUCACAGCUGAAAACAGUGUAACUUACCUUAAUGUGACUGCAGUAUUUCGAGAGGUAAUGACUGAAACACACUGCCCCCUCCCUUUUUUUUUUUUUUUUGUGCUUUCCUUUUUUGUUGUUGUUGGUUUUCUGCUUUUAUUUUGUUGAUGCUUUGGUUUGUUUGUUCUGUCUUGUUUUGUCAGAUAUCUAAGAGGAAGCAAUAUUUUCAAUGACUUAAUGAAGCCAAUUGAUAAAGAAUCAAAUAAAAC
ensembl:lncRNA